rnacentral:rRNA from 1 species
UACAGAGGGUGCGAGCGUUAAUCGGAAUGACUGGGCGUAAAGGGCGCGUAGGCGGUUAGAUAAGUAGGAGGUGAAAUCCCCGGGCUUAACCUGGGAAUUGCUUUUUAGACUGUUUGACUGGAGUGCAUUAGAGGGUAGUGGAAUUUCCGGUGUAGCGGUGAAAUGCGUAGAUAUCGGAAGGAACACCAGUGGCGAAGGCGGCUACCUGGAGUGACACUGACGCUGAGGCGCGAGAGCGUGGGGAGCAAACAGG